UCCCAUAGCGUAUAUUAAAGUUGUUGCAGUUAAAAAGCUCGUAGUUGGAUUUGUGGCAGGUGCGUGCGGCCCGACACUGUGUGUGGGUGCUUGUGCGCGCCGCCAUCCUUGGGUGGAACCUGUGUGGCAUUAGGUUGUCGUGCAGGGGAUGCCCAUCUUUUACUGUGAAAAAAUUAGAGUGUUCAAAGCAGGCUUAUGCCGUUGAAUAUAUUAGCAUGGAAUAAUGAGAUAGGACCUUGGUACUAUUUUGUUGGUUUGCGCACCAAGGUAAUGAUUAAUAGGGACAGUUGGGGGUAUUCGUAUUCCAUUGUCAGAGGUGAAAUUCUUGGAUUUCUGGAAGACGAACUACUGCGAAAGCAUUUACCAAGGAUGUUUUCAUUAAUCAAGAACGAAAGUUAGGGGAUCGAAGAUGAUUAGAUACCAUCGUAGUCUUAACCAUAAACUAUGCCGACAAGGGAUUGGCGGGGUUUCAUUUUGUCUCCGUCAGCACCUUAUGAGAAAUCACAAGUCUUUGGGUUCCGGGGGGAGUAUGGUCGCAAGG
rnacentral:rRNA from 1 species